CGAACGCUGGCGGCGUGCUUAACACAUGCAAAUCGAACGGAAAGGCCCUGCUUUUGUGGGGUGCUCGAGUGGCGAACGGGUGAGUAACACGUGAGUAACCUGCCCUUGACUUUGGGAUAACUUCAGGAAACUGGGGCUAAUACCGGAUAGGAGCUCCUGCUGCAUGGUGGGGGUUGGAAAGUUUCGGCGGUUGGGGAUGGACUCGCGGCUUAUCAGCUUGUUGGUGGGGUAGUGGCUUACCAAGGCUUUGACGGGUAGCCGGCCUGAGAGGGUGACCGGCCACAUUGGGACUGAGAUACGGCCCAGACUCCUACGGGAGGCAGCAGUGGGGAAUAGUGCACAAUGGGCGGAAGCCUGAUGCAGCAACGCCGCGUGCGGGAUGACGGCCUUCGGGUUGUAAACCGCUUUCGCCUGUGACGAAGCGUGAGUGACGGUAAUGGGUAAAGAAGCACCGGCUAACUACGUG
rnacentral:rRNA from 1 species